rnacentral:piRNA from 1 species
UAUCAAACUUGGCAACUUGCUCAGCAAGC